CAGUAGCCGCGGUAAUACGAAGGGUGCAAGCGUUAAUCGGAAUUACUGGGCGUAAAGCGUGCGUAGGCGGUUUGUUAAGUCUGCUGUGAAAUCCCCGGGCUCAACCUGGGAAUUGCAGUGGAUACUGGGUCACUAGAGUGUGGUAGAGGAUAGUGGAAUUUCCGGUGUAGCAGUGAAAUGCGUAGAGAUCGGAAGGAACAUCUGUGGCGAAGGCGACUAUCUGGGCCAACACUGACACUGAGGCACGAAAGCGUGGGGAGCAAACAGGAUUAGAUACCCCAGUAGUCCCUGUCUCUUAUAA
rnacentral:rRNA from 1 species